UACGUAGGGUGCAAGCGUUGUCCGGAAUUAUUGGGCGUAAAGAGCUCGUAGGCGGUUUGUCGCGUCGAAUGUGAAAACCCGGGGCUCAACCCCGGGCCUGCAGUCGAUACGGGCAGACUAGAGUGCGGUAGGGGAGACUGGAAUUCCUGGUGUAGCGGUGAAAUGCGCAGAUAUCAGGAGGAACACCGGUGGCGAAGGCGGGUCUCUGGGCCGUAACUGACGCUGAGGAGCGAAAGCAUGGGGAGCGAACAGG
rnacentral:rRNA from 1 species